GGGGGGUGGACGAAGAAACGAGCGCACAAGCUCACUCCGCAAGAAGAGGACUACUGCGAGCCGAUUCUCCUUGCUACGAGCCACGAGCUCCCUCAGAACCGAGAGGCUGAACCUGAGUUACACCUGAGAAUCGGGGUGGGGGAACACAACACACCGUAGAGAAGGUGAAAAAAAUCGACAUACUUUUAAAAUGCGGUUGAACCUUGUGGAAGCUGAAAUCGAAGCUUGCAUCGUGCCGCGCCGGCACAACUAUCGUCGUUUUAAACGAUUCGGAUGAUCUUCGAACUUUUCAUUGGAGAUAAUAUGAUGAUUUCCUCUCUCAAGAGUCGCUACCGACAAAUCGAAUCCCUUAAUAUAGAUGAGAAUUGUUUGUUUGAAACUCUCGGUGAAUGAGUUCUCGUCUCUCAGAAUUCAGUGCGAGCAAGAUGCCUCAGGCGAGAGAACGCGCGAGCUGCCACAUGGACUUGAAUAUAACGGAGAUUCCGCGGUGUGAGCCAACGACCAUCACCGCCAACAUUGCGCGCGUCUCAUUAUUACUAUACACCGUGAAAUCGCAAUGUUAGCCCAACCUCAUACAGUUGGAUCCUCGUAGAAAUAACCGAGCAAUCGAUCAUUCGAUAAUAAUAAAUGCAGGAAAAUCCACAAACUGAACACGAAACAUAAAGUUUAUCGAUUUUAAUUUCAUUUCACGUAUCGCGAUUCAUUCUCUUACGUAAAAUUCUCUGAAUCGUUGAUUCGUGAAUUAGAUUCACGAAAGUUGAUAGAAAAGUGAAAAAAAAAAUUGGAAAGAUUUUCACUUUUACGAACAUUUGUCAUUGGAAGAAAAAACUUUGGAGAGGCGUUUGAACGUUUCAUAGUUCCGUCGUCAAACGGAGUCCGCUUAAAUGUAUGCAAGAGUUCUUUGCUUUUUAUAUAUGAUGUAAGUGCAUUACAUUUCAUUCCUAUAAGAUAACGAGAAUGCUGGUUAGAAAAGAUAUGUUGAAAAAUGUCGCGACGUACGUAAUGCGAAAUUGUUAAAAGCAUGUGUGCAUUACAUUUUUUAUGAUCUCAGAAAGAGUUCAGAGUGAAAAAUUUUUCGAAAAAUUAUCAACUCUGUUCUGUUUCGUGAAUCCAUAAAACUCCAUAAAAGUGAGCGCAAAAAUAUCUUAUAAAUUUUUAUAGGUUUGAUAUAUCAAAAUACCCGUUUGUCUACGAACGUCGUAAUUUAUGAAAAAAAAAAUCAAUUUUCCAUUUUCCGUCGCGCUCCUCUUACAAUAUUCCAAAUGGAAAAUAAACAUUUUCAAUCGUUCACUGGAAAGGGAGAGUCAAUAGAAAACAAAAAUAUCGGGGGGCCUGGGAAUAAUUUUUUUUAAUAAACUCUUCGAAAUCAUUGUC